AUGAGUAGGGCGGGACACGUGGUAUCCUGUCUGAAUAUGGGGGGACCAUCCUCCAAGGCUAAAUACUCCUGACUGACCGAUAGUGAACCAGUACCGUGAGGGAAAGGCGAAAAGAACCCCGGCGAGGGGAGUGAAAAAGAACCUGAAACCGUGUACGUACAAGCAGUGGGAGCACAGGUUUACCUGUGUGACUGCGUACCUUUUGUAUAAUGGGUCAGCGACUUAUAUUCUGUAGCAAGGUUAACCGUAUAGGGGAGCCGUAGGGAAACCGAGUCUUAACCGGGCGUUAAGUUGCAGGGUAUAGACCCGAAACCCGGUGAUCUAGCCAUGGGCAGGUUGAAGGUUGGGUAACACUAACUGGAGGACCGAACCGACUAAUGUUGAAAAAUUAGCGGAUGACCUGUGG
rnacentral:rRNA from 1 species